rnacentral:miRNA from 1 species
UACCUCAUCAAUUGGAAGGGAUUCCUUCCGUCAAUGAGGAUGUUAUACCUCAUUGACCGGAAGGAAUCCCUUCUGGUUGAUGAGAUU